CAAAAGAAAGAGCUCAACUUACAUAUAACUUAUUUACUUACACUUACAUAUAAAUGUAGCGACUCAGAGAAGUCAGCAAGAACAAUAAUUACCGUUCGUUUAUCGAAUAGUAUACGAUAAUCGUUCGUCUAUCGAGUAAUAAUAAUUAUCAUUUGUCUAUCGAGCAUAUUAAUUAAUUACCGUUCGUCAACCGAAUAAUUACUAUUGUCUAUCGAAGAGUUAGUUAUCGUUUUGUCAACCGAAGAAUUUUAUAUCCGUCAGUCUGUCAGUCAAUUGUCAACAUCGAAAUCAAAUAUCAUAAUAUUGUCAUCCGAAAAAGUGCUUCUGGACUGUUGAGGUUAUCUGAUAGAGGAACGCGUGGAUACAUUUAUAAUAGAAAUAUAUAUACAAGUAAGCAUAAGUAUAGGUAUAGUAUAUGCCGAUCCAGAUCAUCACUUUAGCAGUGUCACAUUACAAUAGAAUAUAAUAGGGAGCAGGUUGAUACAUUGACAGCAAACGACAUUACCAAAAAAUUAACCUUGACCUUGUGACCCAAAAACAACAUUCAUAUUCAAGGACGCAAUAAUAUGGACCUCUCCUUUUCGUUAACUUUUUUGCUUCACCAAGUUCUAUUUUCAUCGUAACAGCGGUGUCCAGGUCACGGGUAUACAAACAAAGAAGAUGUAGAGUUUUUCUAGAGGUAAAUACUUUAACAAGGACAAAGCAUUACAUUGCAAAUAAUUUUUUUAAUAAACCAUGUAUCAAUAUUACUUUUAUAACAGUUUAAUAGUCUUAUUAUUGUUGACAAUCGUGGAUCUUUGUCGCCGAAAUAAACGCAUAGCAACACUCACAUUACACGUAGAAAUGAUAUUAAAAUAGGUUCAUAUUUAUUUAAUAUGUGAUUUAUUAUCUGUUAUAUAUUAGGUUA